ensembl:lncRNA
AACCACAACUGUAAUGUCAGGGGACAGAUAGUCACGGCCAGUGACGGCAGCCCAAGCGCCUCUCGCUGAGGUGCUGAGCUAGAUAAGACCCUGCGAACUGGAGGCCGAAAUACACUCUGCCUGCCCAAGCCGCUCCUGAAGCUAAGGAGCAGCUGACUCGUACAGCUAGCCGUCUUUAUCUUCUGUGGUCUCCAGGCUGCCUCAUCCCCACUCUUCCUCACCAGGCCCAGAGGACAGCAGCGGCGUCAGCGCUCCGCCCUCUCCUCUCCACGCGGUUCCGUCUCCUUGCGUAUCCGAUUCUCCACGGGAACCUCAGGAUUUCUGCACACUCUGCUGCUUUAGAGCCCUGCUCUCCGAUUCAUCACAAACAACGUGAAGACACAGACGAGUCUGGAGAGGAGACAGCUCCCCUCAUUUCACCUCUCAGAGCUCUGCGGCUUCCAGAACUGAGAUCUGAAACACAACUCUGCUGUUCACAUCUAUACAAGCACUCUGACAUCGAAAGGGGAGGCAGGGUCGCAGGCGCCCAGAGAUGGGUCUUCCAGUGCUAGUGGUGGAUUUCUGUUAACCCUUUCAAUUCUGCAAGACUAUGGGUUACUCUCUGUGUUAUAAAAAUUUACAUAAUCAGGUGCUGGAUGUUUUCAAAGUUCACCUGUCCCCAUCCUCGUCACAAAGUUUAGCUUCAUUGUAUCCUACCUUAAAUGAUCAAUUUUCUCAUGCUAAAGACUAAAAGAUUUAGGUCAGCAUAUCAUUUAACAUUAGAUGAAAAUUUUUUCCUCAUUUUUCUCUAACAACAAUAUUUAACCCAAAGAAAACUGUUUUUAAAAAAUGUAUUUAUUUAUUUGAAAGUCAGAGGUACACAGAGAGAGAAGGAGAGGGAGAGAGAGAGGUCUUCCAUCCACUGGCUCACUCCCCAAUUGGCUGCAAUGGCCGGAGCUGCGCUGAUCCAAAGCCAGGAGCCAGGAGCUUCCUCCAGGUCUCCCACGUGGGUACAGGGGCCCAAGGACUUGGGCCAUCUUCCACUGCUUUCCCAGGCUAAACUGUAGGGAGCUGGACCAGAGGUGGAGCAGCCAGGACAGAAACCCGUGCCCAGAUGGGAUGUCAGCAACCCAGGCGGCGGCUCUACCCACCACGCGUGUCUGCCCAGAAAACAGCUUUUCCACUGGCUCAUUGGCGGAGUACUGAAUCUUUUCUCCUCUGUUCCUAAUGCUCUCCAAGUGGCUCCUUAUUGAAUUAACUUCAAGUUGACCUCCACUCGAGCCAAUACGCUGUUUAUCUCACCCCAGCUCCGUCAUUCACUGUGAUAUUCUCCAGAACAGCCUGCUUGGCCCCUUGAACAUCCACCAUUUGCCCUUCUUGGAGCUCGAGGGACUCGAUGCCUCUCACCAGUGCCCCAGAUUCUGACUUCUCCUCCUCUCCUGGGAGCCUGAUUACGCCAGAGCCGGACAUUUUAACCAGUCCGCCAUGUCGCCUGCUCUCUGCAUUUCCUGUUCUGUUUCAUUUCCAUCCUCUGCUCUGGACAUAGUGAAGACAUUAAUUACAUUUGGUGGAAGCUUGGAGCCUUUCUAGCAGAGGGAAGCAUCAGCUGUGUCUUCCUUGCAGGAUUUGAUGGACUUCAGCAGGCAGAAGGGUUUUCCUUAAGUAGGGGUGUGAGUGAGGAAUAUUCCGGAAGUGGCCAGCACAGUCAUGUAAUCAGGGGGCGGGUGGGUGAGAACAUGAGUGUAACAGAGAGCAGAUAACACCAAAUUAUCAAGGCAGCUCAACAUGGAGCCCAAAGCGAUGUACAGCUGGUGUAAAAUUUGGUAACCCUGGGUAACAGGAGCCCCAGGAGCCCUUCAUGGAAGGGCCGGCAUUGUGGCCUAAUGGGUUAAAGCUGCUGCCUGCGCCACCGGAAUCCCAUGUGGGCACCGAUUCGAGUCCCAGUUGCUCCACUUCCGAUCCAGCUUCCUGCUAUGGCCUGGGAAAGCAGCAGAAGAUGGCCCAAGUGCUUGGGCCUCUGGACCCACAUCAGAGACCCAUAUGAAGCUCCGGGCUCCUAUCUUCAUCCUGGCCCAACCUUGGCUGUUGCAGCCAUCUAGAGUGAACCAGUGGAGGGAAGAAUUUUCUAACUCUUGACUUUCAAAUAAAAUAUAUAAAUAUAAAAAAAAACCA